UGGCUCAGAACGAACGCUGGCGGCAUGCCUAACACAUGCAAGUCGAACGGCAGCAUGAUCUAGCUUGCUAGAUUGAUGGCGAGUGGCGGACGGGUGAGUAACACGUAGGAAUAUACCCUAAAGAGGGGGAUAACUUGGGGAAACUCAAGCUAAUACCGCGUAAUCUCUGAGGAGAGAAGCUGGGGACCAUUAGGCCUGGCGCUUUAGGAAUAGCCUGCGUCCGAUUAGCUAGUUGGUGGGGUAAGGGCCCACCAAGGCGAUGAUCGGUAGCUGGUCUGAGAGGAUGAUCAGCCACACUGGAACUGAGACACGGUCCAGAGUCCUACGGGAGGCAGCAGUGGG
rnacentral:rRNA from 1 species